UACAGAGGUCCCAAGCGUUGUUCGGAUUCACUGGGCGUAAAGGGUGCGUAGGUGGUGAGGUAAGUCGGAUGUGAAAGCUCGGAGCUCAACUCCGAAAUGGCAUUGGAAACUACCUUGCUCGAGGGUUGGAGGGGGGACUGGAAUACUUGGUGUACCAGUGAAAUGCGUAGAUAUCAAGUGGAACACCAGUGGCGAAGGCGAGUCCCUGGACAACUCCUGACACUGAGGCACGAAAGCUAGGGGAGCAAACAGG
rnacentral:rRNA from 1 species